ACUUACGAAAGGAGUGCUAACUACCCGGUAUGGCGCAGCGGUCGUUCGGAUCGCGGCGAGAAAGACCCGCAAGGGUUGCCAGAGGACGAGCCUGCGGCCCAUCAGCUAGUUGGCGAGGUAACGGCUCACCAAGGCGAAGACGGGUAGCUGGUCUGAGAGGAUGAUCAGCCACACUGGAACUGAGACACGGUCCAGACUCCUACGGGAGGCAGCAGGUGGGGAAUAUUGCGCAAUGGGCGAAAGCCUGACGCAGCCACGCCGCGUGAGCGAUGAAGGCCUUCGGGUCGUAAAGCUCUGUGGGGAGAGAAGAAUAAAGCCUGUGAAGAGCAGGCCUUGACGGUAUCUCCUUAGCAAGCACCGGCUAACUACGUG
rnacentral:rRNA from 1 species